rnacentral:piRNA from 1 species
UAUGUGGCAUCUUCACUGGGCCCUGGAU